rnacentral:sRNA from 1 species
GCUGGGUGUGGUAGUACACACCUGCAAUUCCUGUGUCUGGGAGGCUGAGGCAGGAAGAUCGUGAGUUUAGGACCAGCCUCAGCAAUUUAGCAAGACCCUGUCUUAA